GAGACGCCGUGGCUGAGGCAGGCCUUGCGACGACGGCGUCGGCCUCCGAGCGCAGCCGAAGCGUGCGCCCCGAGGAGCCGGGCAUUCUUAGGAGAAUGGUUGGAGGAGGAGCGCAACUUCCGGAAAAUCCAGAUCGUGUCAAGUGCAACACUUUUUGUGGCAGAUUCAUCACAUCACAAA